UUAUCCUUCACAGCAUAUCUCAAGAGAGAGAAAAAAGAGAAAGAUAUACCUGAAGACACAUACCCAGAUUGACAUAUAUUUUGGCAACUCUUCCAUACCUGGAUGGGAACUGAAUAUGCAUGGACUUGCUGGGGGGCCAUCAGUUGGAUUUCAAACAAAUAGGACCUAUGAAUAUUGUCCCCACAUGUUUCGAUGUGGAUGCAAGUUGGCUAGACCCACAACAACUGCAAACAUUUUCCCCACAUGCAAGAUAUUUUCUGAAAAAAUGGCUAGAGAGAGGAAGGAGAAAACGAGACAAACACUAUAUUGUAAGGAUCUCUGAGAACUCUUUCCAACUCAAGCUGAGAAGAAUUUCUGGUUGGAGCUGGCCUUCUCACAGAAGCAGCGGCAGCUGUCUGUUGUCUGCAUUGUUGAAAAUCAAUGUCCUAAUUAAAAGGUAAGAGAUUUUUAUUCCCCUCACAGCAAUAAGGAAGAAGGUACUCCUGACCUGUACCAGGAACCAGGAGAGCAGUACUGAGCUGACCACAUUUGUAUGACCUUCCUUUGGCCGGUGGUCUAACAAAGCCAUUGGCAGGGAAAUCCAGCUACUUAAGCCUCUUCCAGCUGUGCAACAUCCACAGGUGCAAAGA
rnacentral:lncRNA from 1 species